rnacentral:rRNA from 1 species
AUACGGAGGGUGCGAGCGUUGUCCGGAAUCACUGGGCGUAAAGGGCGCGUAGGCGGCCUGAUAAGUAGGGGGUGAAAUCCUGCGGCUUAACCGCAGGGCUGCCUUCUAAACUGUCAGGCUAGAGCACGGUAGAGGCAGAUGGAAUUCCCGGUGUAGCGGUGGAAUGCGUAGAGAUCGGGAAGAACAUCAGUGGCGAAGGCGGUCUGCUGGGCCGUUGCUGACGCUGAGGCGCGACAGCGUGGGGAGCAAACAGGAUUAGAUACCCUGGUAGUCCACGCCGUAAACGAUGGGUGCUAGGUGUGGGAGGUGUCGACUCCUCCCGUGCCGCAGCUAACGCAUUAAGCACCCCGCCUGGGGAGUACGGCCGCAAGGCUAAAACUCAAAGGAAUUGACGGGG